GACAUUCCUUGUUGAGAGAUUCCGCGUACAGGAGGAAAGAAAAGUCUUCCUGCCCAAGUCCUGCAGGAGGUUUGAGUUUAAAAAUAUUCCUCGAGACAGAGACAUCAGGUUCUCGUCGUUGCCAACUACAAUGAAGUCCCUCCGCGUGACCAUCAAGUGCAUGUUAUGUCUGUGGAUCUUGGCAGUCGCCUUGGUGGCCCCUCCCGCUGACAGUUCGCCAGUCCCCGGUCUUUCCGCCAUGGCCCAGUCCGGAAACAGAGACGACCGCACCUUCUUCUCCUUCCCUUUUGCCCUGACCGGCUUCCAGCCCCGGGAAUCAUCAGGCCCUAGGGUCAGACCUCAGAAGAAAGCUCACACUAGACCCCGACCGUACUACAAGGGCAACAAGAAGCUUCUUAGCAAACGCCAGGGGCGCUAGGACUCGAUAACCCGCUAUUUAUGAUAAGUUCUGUAAGAUAAGAACCUAGGUUACGCUCUCUUAUUUUUGAGAAAUUGGAAAAUAAAUAUCUUUUCGUUUUUUA